AUACGUACCGUACGAACGUUAUUCGGAAUCACUGGGCUUAAAGAGUUCGUAGGCGGCUAUGUAGGUGAGGUGUGAAAUCCCACGGCUCAACCGUGGAAUUGCGCUUCAAACCACAUGGCUUGAGGGAGAUAGAGGAAAGCGGAACAGAUGGUGGAGCGGUGAAAUGCGUUGAUAUCAUCUGGAACACCGGUGGCGAAGGCGGCUUUCUGGGUCUCUUCUGACGCUGAGGAACGAAAGCUAGGGUAGCGAACGGGAUUAGAAACCCCAGUAGUCC
rnacentral:rRNA from 1 species